rnacentral:rRNA from 1 species
UACGUAGGGGGGCUAGCGUUGUCCGGAAUCAUUGGGCGUAAAGCGCGUGUAGGCGGUCCGGUAAGUCCGCUGUGAAAAGUCGGGGGGCUCAACCCUCGGAUGCCGGUGGAGUACUGUCGGGCUUGAGUACGGAAGAGGCGAGUGGAAUUCCUGGUGUAGCGGUGAAAUGCGGCAGAUAUCAGGAGGAACACCGAUGGCGAAGGCAGGAUCUCCGUGGGCGUGGAGUACAUGACUGGAGGAGCGAAAAGCCAGCUUGG